GCCUAGAUAGCUUAAUAUUUCAAAGCACUGGACUUGUAAACCAACGACUGGAGGUUUAAACCCUCCUCUAGACA
rnacentral:tRNA from 1 species